GACGAACGCUGGCGGCGUGCUUAACACAUGCAAGUCGAACGGAAAGGCCCUUCGGGGUACUCGAGUGGCGAACGGGUGAGUAACACGUGGGUGAUCUGCCCUGCACUUUGGGAUAAGCCUGGGAAACUGGGUCUAAUACCGAAUAGGACCACGCGCUUCAUGGUGUGUGGUGGAAAGCUUUUGCGGUGUGGGAUGGGCCCGCGGCCUAUCAGCUUGUUGGUGGGGUAAUGGCCUACGAAGGCGACGACGGGUAGCCGGCCUGGGAGGGUGACCGGCCACACUGGGACUGCGAUACGGCCCAGACUCCUACGGGAGGCAGCAGUGGGGAAUAUUGCACAAUGGGCGCAAGCCUGAUGCAGCGACGCCGCGUGAGGGAUGACGGCCUUCGGGUUGUAAACCUCUUUCACCAGGGACGAAGCGUAAGUGACGGUACCUGGAGAAGAAGCACCGGCCAACUACGUG
rnacentral:rRNA from 1 species